GUUUAUCUUUGACCAGGCCAUGAAUUUUACUCAAGUUCUUAUUUCUUCAUCAGCAUGCUAUCAUUUUAUUAUCUGUACUUGUACAUAUUAGAAAUUGUCUCACAUGUAUGUUCUUGUUGAGUACUUGUACAGGGCUAAUUAUGAUAAAAUAUGUCAAAGAGAAGGUUAAGGAGAAGUCACUGGUUGCAGAAGACAUAACGAGGAAAAUCAGAGGAAACGGAAACACAGAAAAAUAGCAAAAAGUAUAAGUGAUCUCUAAAUUAGAGGAACAACCUCAUCAAAUUUUGUUCAUCGAAGAAGGUGUAGAGGAGAAUAAUACUGAUACUGGUGAAGGAACUGGUGAUGAUGAAUGCAUCUUUAUUAUUAAUGAACAAAACAUAGAAAAUGUAGGUUCUUUGCACUUGCAAGAUCAGGUAAAGUUUUAUUAAACCAGGGAUUCUAGUAUGAUAUUUAUCGCUUCUUAAAACUAAUGU